rnacentral:misc_RNA from 1 species
AAAACGCGGGCCGCUGCUCGUAUGCAAAAAUGAGCGCUUCACACAUUUUGGAUUUGAAGGAUGACUGUCUAAGAUACCUGCUGGACUAUCUGUCAACUGAAGAUCAAAUAUGUUAUGCCCAAGCCUGCCAGCGAUUUCGUGACGUUUUCAUCGAUUGGGCCGGCAGACAUUACCGACACUUCACGAUCGAUGAGAAGAACUCAAGGCAGGAGCUGAUCAGAUUUUGUAUUUGCCGCGAGGCUGUCGAGGAGCUGACCAUAGAUCUGGAUCACUUUGAUUCGUCCCGAGCGCUGAGAAACUAUGGAUGUGUAGCACCUCUAAACUGCUUUAGCAUAUUGAGCUUAGCUUUGACAGGCAUGACAAAUCUGAGAAAAUUGAUAGUCAAACAGCUCAAGUUUAUGCUCCUUUUUGCGCAACCCUUUGAGAAGACAUUGGCUGCAGUCAAAGACUUGAAGCAACUUAAAGUCCUAGAGUUGCAUGCGAUCGAUGAUUUUACCUUUGACAACUUAGGCCAACUGAAGCAUCUGGAGGAAUUACAUUUGAUUGUGAAGACACUAAGUGGCCCAGCUCUAACCAACUGCUGCAAGUCAAAUCCCAAUCUGCGUCAUCUGCACCUUGGAUUUUCCAGUGUCCAGCGGAUUCUGAGCGACAUUGCACCCCACUGUGCUAAUCUGGAAACUCUUCAGUUUGGCAUGAUAGGAGAAGCGCCGGCAUACAAAGCAAUAGCCAAGCUGCCCAAGCUCAGGCAACUCAUAUAUUAUGGCAUUCGGAGCACCAACUCCUUUCUGCCGCUGCUCACUGGAUUGGCUGCGCGACCGCAGCUUCAACGCCUCGACAUCGACGGAGGCAGCCUUAGCACUGAAGAGACUCGACAACUGGUUCGACUGAGCGGAUUGCAGCAGCUAAAGUGCUUCUGCUCGACAGCUGAGUGUGUGGAGAUGCUAGCGCAGCUAACACAGCUCCAGGCACUCAGCAUAUGGAUGUCCAGCAGAGUCGACAUUUCUGCUGCUAUGCUAAGAGUGAUAGGGGAAUGCAAGCAACUGCAGCAGCUGCGCAUUGCAUCGGGCAACUUGAACUCUGAUUUUAUUAAUGACGUCUCUGAAAUACUCUGUGCAAACAAAACAGGACCGGAUAAACGAUCGCUGAAACUCGAAGUUCCCGUUCUGAAAUAUGUGACUCCGAAACUGCAACUCAUUGAAGGAAACCAAGCUCUCAGCUGCUCAGAGUUUGAGUUGGCUUCAUGGAAAAACUCAAAUUAAAUGAUAGGGUUAACUCACAGUGGGAUCAUGUGUUAUUGUGGCAAUACUUAAGUACUCUGUUCCGAAAACGACUCGAAUAUAGAUAGGUAUUCAAUCUUGUACUCACUUAAAAUAGGUAAAAGUUACAGCACAAAUGAAAUAAUUUAUUUAAUAUUCUCUUUCAAUGCUUUUAAAUGAAUGCAAGCGCAACAGAGACAGGCGUAAAGCUUUGACUUAAUUAAAGACUGAUUGAUUAUUGGUCGGGAUUCAAUUUCAAUUUCAUUCGCCGCCACACUGCAAGCAAUGAAAUUAAAAUCAAAUUAAAUGAGAGAAUUUAACAUUUCCAUUGUCGCAGAUGCUGAUGGGACCACCUCAUGCGCGUAACAUGAUACAUGUAUGUAUGUAUUUAUGUAUGUACGUUUGUAUGUAUGCAUGAUGAUGAUGCUGCUACUGCCUGUCAGACGAGCUGGCGGCCAGCAGUUGAAGUGGUUCGAUCGUCUGCGAGUGGAGCCCAUCAGUCAGCCACCAGCACAACGGCAACAUUACAGAUACCAACAAUAGCGCACACAAAAGCAACAACAGCAACAGCAACAACAGCAACAACAGCAACAUGGUAAAGUUAAAAUCAACAUACAUUGUUGCUGAACAUUUCCUUUUGUGCCAGAGAGCCCAGUGCUCAGGGAGAGCAAAAGCCGGAAAGUGAAACGAGCUACGUCUGAAGUGAAAGAAAAAUAGCAACAGGCAACAGCCAACAAACAACGAAACAACAAUGGCAACAAUAAUGCGCUUCAGGCGACCCUCUCUCAUCGAAAUGGAUUACAUAUAAAUAUACUUAUUGUUCCAUUUGGCAGCCGAAUAAAUAUUUUGGUCAGAAUUUGUGCCAAUUGAAGGCACAGAGUACGUGAUAAUGGAUAAUCGUCAUACUUUAUCAAUGAGACAAAAGACAAGCCCAACUGACUGACUGAAAUAUUUUCAACACUUUGGUUACCUUCAAUUUAUACAAUUUUCUUUAUGCAAUUACAACAGAAUUAUUUGCUCUCACUCAUGCUCGAUCACGCAAGGUGCAGUCUUGAAUCAAACAUUAUGAUCUCAAACUUAACCCGUAUAAGCUUAAUAAAAGCUGGAGCUAAGCAGCAUAAGGCACUCGUAAUUUUAUCAAUAAAAUUCAACGACAGUCUAAAGUACCCACUGAGCCAGCAUGAAUAUUUUAUGGCAAUGUGUGAAGCCGCACAUUAUUAAUUAAAAUUUGCUCCAUCAACAACAACAACAACAACAACGAGAACAACAACAACGAGAACAACACGUAGAGCAACAGCGUGCGCGGAAUUACGGCAAACGAGGCGGCAGUAAAAACUUCCAAUUACUCAAGCGUGCCCUCAUCCUUCUUCGACAACGGCAGCAAGCACACAACGCAGGGACAUCACAUAAACGUUCAUACAUACACAUGUGUGUGUGUGUAAGUGUGUUUGUAUUUGCAUUUAAUAUCCUUUUCUUUGAAUAAUUCAUGCAUACAGGGCUGACCAAACGACUGAACAGCAUCAACUGCACACAGCGGCGUUGCAGGGCACAGGCAAAAGGCUGAUGACCGAAGGGCUUCCAUUUCAUUGCUGUUGUUGUUGUGGCUGCUGCUGCUGUUGUUGUGGCUGCUGCUGCUGUUGCUGGGCAUUUUUUACGCAUACCGAUGGCGAAACUUAUUAAUUGGCACUUGAGCUGUGGUUACCACAGCUCGACAGAGUCCAGGUUUUUUUUUUUUUUUUUUAAUUUUUUUAUAUUUUUUUUAUUUUGUAUUUUUGCCCUGGGCUCAACCAAAGCGCGCCGUCAUUCAAAUUUUGAGCAGGCAUAAUUUAACAACUUUUUCGUCCACGGGCUGCGCCCGUCUCUUUGGAUAUUGGAUGUUGAACAUCGCUGGUAAUCCACUCAAGUAACAAGCUAUAACCACCACAGCGGCAACAAUAACAGUGGCAAAAAUGUACACGUGACUGACAAUGACAGAGCAACAAGAUUGGCGGACAUGCAGCAAGAGCCAACAUGCAACAGCAACAUGGGAAUACCCUGCAAUAGAUAGGACACUACUACUCUAGAAAAG